UUGAUCCCCAUCCUUCUACUCUCUUUUUCGUUCCCUCUCUCUCCAAGUCUCUUCACUCUCUCUGUAAUCUACACAACAGCCUGCUCUCUCCCUCCGAUCAGCCACCGCGACUCCUCCGGCCACUCCAUCGUGUAACAUGUAAAUCACUCCAUCAAUCCAAGCUCUCAAUUCCCCUUCUUCCCCUCAAUUUUGGAGCUUAGGUUGCAAACCCACCUCCACUUAUCUUUGGAAAAUAGUUGAAAUUAGAGAGUAUAAAAGCGAGUGAACUCGCUAGUUGGCAGCAGCACGUGUCAAGUCACCACCUCCCUUUUUGCUGGUACAGUCGGAGUUUACACGUGGCAUGCUUAGGUUAUCUUUUGUUGUAAAUAGUUGGGUUACGAAUGUAAGGUUAUAACCUUCUUUUUGCUAGUGGAGUUGUAUAUAUCUAGCUAAACAGGUUAAUGUUAUUUUGUUAUGUAUAGUAGUAAAUAGUGGUGUUAUCAGAUUUAGUUUCUUUUA